GACGAACGCUGGCGGCGCGCUUAACACAUGCAAGUCGAGCGAUGAAAUUUCGACAGAUCCCUUCGGGGUGAAGAUGAAAUGGAUUAGCGGCGGACGGGUGAGUAACACGUGAGUAACCUGCCUUUGACAUUGGGAUAGCCUCGGGAAACUGGGAUUAAUACCAAAUGACACUAACUGAUAACAUGAUCAAUUAGUCAAAGAAAUUCGGUCAAAGAUGGACUCGCGGCUGAUUAGCUAGUUGGUGAGGUAACGGCCCACCAAGGCGACGAUCAGUAGCCGGCCUGAGAGGGUGAUCGGCCACAUUGGAACUGAGACACGGUCCAAACUCCUACGGGAGGCAGCAGUGGGGAAUAUUGCACAAUGGGGGAAACCCUGAUGCAGCGACGCCGCGUGAGCGAAGAAGGCCUUCGGGUCGUAAAGCUCUUUUAUGAGGGAAGAUAAUGACGGUACCUCAAGAAAAAGCCCCGGCUAACUACGUG
rnacentral:rRNA from 1 species